ACCACCGCCGCCAGGACUAAAUGGUUCCUUUACAGACGCACAAAGGAGGCGUCCGAGCGAGAACCCUCACUGCUCGGCCCCUUUCUCCCCCUCUCCGGGAUGACACCGGUUCAACUCAUCUUUUAUGCUGCUGCAAUCUGUUAACAAGGCCGGCACUGGUGGCAUCACCCAGAUGUAUACGGAUGGGAUCGGCAAAGCAUGGAAACUCGGGGGAGAAGGUCAGGUGGUCCAUUUAAUGGUGCCAGCGAGAGAAGGAGCCACACUACACUGCUGUCAGAGCAGGAUACAAAAGCCUCUGCAAGGGAUACAACUAUAAGACUGGACUAAUACAGGCCUUCUGAUGAAGUGCUACCAAGGAACUACCAAGGAGCCCGAGAGUCCAACUUCUGCCAAAUAGGGGGUCAAGACCAUCAGGGGAAGUUUGGAUGUCUGAGGCCAACCCUCCUGAAGAGCAACUAGGUUGGCAGGCUUUUGCACCAGCCCUCCUCUAACAUAGCCUGGUCCAAGAUCUGUUUGUGCUCUUGCCAAUGCCAGCUCCAUUGCUGUCCUUGUCUGUGAGUUGGCAUGAUAGCACCAACAGACUGGAACUCAGGUUACCUCUAACACACUUGACACUAAUGAUCAGCUGAAUUAGGUUUGUUACGACAGGAGCAAAAGCCUGCACACCCAGUUGCUUUCCAGUAGGAGGGUUGGUCCCCUUUGGUCUAUCAUCUGCCCAAUACAUCCAUGACAAAAUAACAAAAUGUUUUAGAACAUUUCUAAAUUGUUUUGAUAUUCACAGCAAUUUGUAGAAUCACAAAGAAAUGAAAAGAUUAUUUUCAAACCCACACUAAUUUCUUGACUUAACUAUAUCUGUUGUAACAGAUAGUAUACUGUAUCUCGGCACCCAUCUGACUCCAUACAGUUAGUGAUACUGAUAAAUGCCACAGCAUUGUGUAAGGAGAGGUUUAAGAUAUCCCUGACUUGAAAUCUGGAAGACCAAUAUAGAAUAAUUAAACCAAUCCCAUCCUUUCCCUUUUCCUCUUAAUAAGAACCACAAUCUGUUAAGCAUUAGUUACACAAUGCAAGGACAUUUGUUAGAUAUAACCACACUUUAUAUAACAUUUUCACAAUUUCACAAAUGGUACCAAGAAUAUGCAUAUUAUUGCUUCAGGGCCUGAGCUACAGGCAGUUAGAUUUGGGUACGUCAUUUUAGGUGAAAAUUGAAAAAAGGGGACCAUCCU